rnacentral:tRNA from 1 species
AAUGAUUAAGAAGAAAAUAUCUUAUAAAUAGAUUUACAAUCUACCGCCUAAUG